GCCUUCUUGGCUCAGUUGGCAGAGCGUCUCCCUAGUAGCACAGCAUUCCUAAGUGGAAGGAGAAGGUCACCAGUUCAAUUCUGGUAGAAGGCA